GCGUGUGUAUAGUUCAAUACAUUAAAUUCUGCAAUAAUUACAAUUAGCAGAGAAAUAGUACCAUUUUCCUAGACAGCAGACAUUUGUAUUUGCGUUGUUAGUUUAAGAAAACUUUUAUUUACUGUAAGAUUUUGUUGUUUGUUAAAAUGACGAUUUGCCUCAUUGAGGGAGAAAUCUGACAUCAGUUGACUAUACUGACUCAGGUUUAAAAGGCAACAUCAGAUAGCCUGCAGAAACUCUACACUGAAGCAGAGCUUCCAUGCUUGGCUUGUCUUGCUGUGUUUCACUCAACACUCCUAAUUUUUUGCAGUGUUUUUUCCACUAUUCAAGUACUUGUCAUUUGUCAUUUACCGUAGUAUUGUGAAAUAUCAUCCCUUUAUUUUAUUUUUCUACAUGUGUACAUUUAUUUAUGUUUGUUAGCUGAUAUAAUUCACAAUAAACUUUUUUUUUCCAGAUGCAGACUGAGUUGGAUAGAAACAUAUCAAAGGAAUUAAACAACGCCACAGCAGAGCUGGACGUUGCUUCAGCCCGUAUGUCACCAGUGGGCUCUGCCUCGAGGGAGAAGCUAGACCCCGUCAGCAGGGCGACACAGCAGUACUUGGAAGUACUAAAGAAAAAUAAUAUGAUUUGAACACUCAUCACAGCUGCUGGCAGUCAAACGUUGUAUUUCAGCCAUUACAAUCAUUUAAAUACCGACUGCACCAACAAUAAGGCCAAAGCCACUGCCUAGUCAUAUAACACCCACUUUGUACGUAUUCACUCUCCCUUCUUUUCACAAAAGCAAAUAUAAUGCACAUUGCACUUAACCACUCAGGAGCAAAGGGCAUGAGUCAUAUAUUUUAUUUUAUAUAUAUAUAUAUAUAUAUAUAUAUAUAUAUAAAAUUAUAAUUAGAGAGCACCUCAAAAGUAUUUGUUCUUUCUGAUUAAUUCUGUUCUGUAUCCGAUCUGUAACUUUUUUGUUUAGCACUAUGUCUAUAUAUAUAUAUAUAUAUAUAUAGACAUAGUAUAUGUAUAAAAUACGUAUACAGAAUUGUGGUUUGGAUUUUGUUAUGUGAAUAUUGGUGUUGCUAAAUUUUAAUUUUUAAGUAUUUGAUGUAUGCAUCAUUAAUAAUUUUGCCAAGAUAUUACCCGGUACGUGCCAUCAAAUGGUGCAAUAUCUGUCUUGGUCCUUAAUUUAGUAGACUCGUUGAGUAUUGUGUUGAUGAUGAUUUUAUUUAUUAUUUUUUAUUUUAACAUGAUAUACUUGAAUAAGACGAGCUGGAAUACUCUGGCUAUUGAAACAGGGUGACUUCAUUUGUACAACUGUCAUUCAAACCAUUGGUUGCUUGCCUUUAGGGCCACCAAAAGGGAAACACGCUUGUUUUGUUUUUUGUUACUUAUAAAAAACUGUAACAGAAUACAUAUAUACAUAUAGGAAAAUAUUUAUGACGCCUGUAUGUCACAGAAGACUCUAAAGUUGUAAAUAAAACAGUUAAAACAAAAACCUGAACUUGAAUGAGCUGUAUUAUGUCUGGAUACCAAGUGGACAUGAGAAAGGAAAGAAAUAAAGUGACUAAGGUUA